GACGAACGCUGGCGGCGCGCCUAACACAUGCAAGUCGAGCGGAGAUAUUUGAAGGAAGUUUUCGGAUGGAAUUUGGGUAUUUUAGCGGCGGACGGGUGAGUAACGCGUGAGUGACCUGCCUUCCACAGGGGGAUAACGUACCGAAAGGUACACUAAUACCGCAUGAGACCACAGCACUGCCUGGUGCAGGGGUCAAAGGAGCAAUCCGGUGGAAGAUGGACUCGCGUCCGAGUAGAUAGUUGGUGGGGUAACGGCCUACCAAGUCAGCGAUCCGUAGCCGACCUGAGAGGGUGAUCGGCCACAUUGGAACUGAGAGGCGGUCCAAACUCCUACGGGGUGCAGCAGUGGGGAAUAUUGGGCAAUGGGGGAAACCCUGACCCAGCGACGCCGCGUGAGGGAAGAAGGUUUUCGGAUUGUAAACCUCUGUCCUUGGUGAAGAGAAGAAGACGGUAGCCAAGGAGGAAGCCCCGGCUAACUACGUGCCAGCCGCCGCAGUAA
rnacentral:rRNA from 1 species